rnacentral:snRNA from 1 species
GUGCUCGAUUUGGCAGCACAUAUACUGCAAUGGGAAUGAUACAGGAAGAUUAGCAUGGCCUCUGCACAAGGAUGACAUGUGAAGCAUUCCAUGAAAAAAAAAAAAUGAUG